CGCGAAGAGUCAAAAUUUUUAUCGAAGGCUACAUCUGUAAAAAAGAUGUGAGCAUGUCGGUCGAAUUUUGAAGUUUCGCGUGUCCAGCUUCUAGCUUCUAGAACCAGCGGCGGACGGGUGAGUAACACGUGGAUAACCUGCCAUACGCGCCGGGAUAACAAUUGGAAACGAUUGCUAAUACCGGAUAAGCCCACGAGGCGGCAUCGUUUUGUGGGAAAAGAUUUAUCGGCGUAUGAGGGGUCCGCGUCUGAUUAGCCAGUUGGCGGGGUAACGGCCCACCAAAGCAACGAUCAGUAGCCGGCCUGAGAGGGUGAACGGCCACAUUGGGACUGAGACACGGCCCAAACUCCUACGGGAGGCAGCAGUGGGGAAUAUUGCGCAAUGGGGGAAACCCUGACGCAGCAACGCCGCGUGAAGGAAGAAGGCCUUCGGGUUGUAAACUUCAAUCUCCGGGGACGAUAAUGACGGUACCCGGGUCGAAGCACCGGCUAAAUACGUGCCAGCAGCCGCGGUAAUACGUAUGGUGCAAGCGUUAUCCGGAAUUACUGGGCGUAAAGGGUGAGUAGGCGGUUUUUUAAGUCACACGUGAAAUUCCCGGGCCCAACCCGGGAACUGCGUGAGAAACUGGAGAACUUGAGUGCGGGAGAGGUAAGCGGAAUUCCCAGUGUAGCGGUGAAAUGCGUAGAUAUUGGGAAGAACACCAGUGGCGAAAGCGGCUUACUGGACCGUAACUGACGCUGAGUCACGAAAGCGUGGGGAGCGAACAGGAUUAGAUACCCUGGUAGUCCACGCUGUAAACGAUGAGUGCUAGUGUCGGGCCGAGAGGUUCGGUGCCGGAGUUAACGCAAUAAGCACUCGCCUGGGGAGUACGGUCGCAAGGCUGAACUCAAGGAAUUGACGGGGCCGCA
rnacentral:rRNA from 1 species